UGCCGCGUGGAUUGAGGAGCCUGCUGGUAGCGUAGGGAUGGAGGUGGCUGAAGGGGCGCUGAGUUAGGGGCUUCAGGGGCAAGGGGAGCCUUAGGCUUGCUUAUGGGUGGAAUUAUGCUGUAGCCUGAAAUGGGAUCCUGGAUUUACUGAGGAAUUAAGAAGUCUCUCUAGGAUGGCCAAGAUCUCUGGAGUAUGCCAUCUUUAAGUUACUUCUCACUCAUCCAUUUACUUGGAAGAUCUGGUAGACAAGUUUCUUUGCAAAAAGGGGACACCUUUGAAAUUGCCUAAUUUAGCAA